ACGUCGGCAGCCCCAGCCCCAGAAAAGGAACCUACUCUCCAUGCACGUCUCUCUGGAGCAACCUGAAGACAGGAUCUUGGCCUCAGGACAGCCAUGGCCACAGGAGAGCACACCCCUGAUGACCCUCUGCUCAGAGGCAAAAGGAGGCAAGACCUCCAAGAGAUGCUGAGAGAAGUGGGCCUGGAUGUUGAGUACUGGUUACCCAAGCUGCAGGAACACCUGGGUGUGACCUGUGCCCAGGCCUUACAACACCUAGACAAAAACAACCUCAAGAAGCUGAAAUCCCAGACACAACAUCCAUGGGAGAAAGCUGCUUAAUCUGUCACACUCAAAAAGUCUUUCAGCGUUACAGGAGUCUCAGGUGGAGAGGGCAAAGAGAAAGCAGAAGCAGGCAGAACAGGCACUGCAGGAGCUGAGGGACUUGCUGACAGAAGGGAAGCAGAGACAGGAAGAGGCAGUGAGGACAAGAGAAGCAGAGCUGAGGCAAGCAAUGGACAUCCCUGAAGAGUACUGGCCAUCCCCUGAAGAGCCUCUAAGGGAACUCAUGGAAAACCUGCAGAGACAACUCAACCUCAUGAAGUGGACACUGUGCCACAGGCAAAACCUUCCAGAUAGAGAUGUGGUGAGAUGGGCAUCUGGAGGGCUGGCCCUCCAGGGAAUUUACAAAGCCAGCCACCAAAGGGGCCUGACAGAGAAGAGAGAGGAGUUGCUCAGUGUCCCCAAAGAGUUCUUACUUUUGGGUCCUCAGCAAGGAACACAAAUGAAAACAAAGGAAUUCACAUCUCCUCAGGCUGAAUUCAUGUUUACCCAGAUGGUAGAGAAGCUGGGCUUUCGUUUAACUACUUCAGCCAAGGACGGAAAUUGGGGGUUUAGUCUAGAAGCUGGUUUGGAUCACAGCAAACAUCCAGAAUCCAAGGAAACCCAACAAUCAAGUUCUGAGAAUUCUUAUUUCUGCUCAACCAAGUUCAGCUAUAUCCCCCUGGCCUCCUGCCACUUUCCCAUUGAUCAGCUCCAGUUAUCCAAGCCUGCUGUCCAGGAAUUGAAAUGCAUUGAAGAGCUUCUGAGUCAGACAACAAACCCAGACAGGUUCUCCUUGCUGAGGCACAGGAUCAUAAACUUCUUCCACAGGUUUGGCUCUCAUGUUAACCAAGGCCCUCUGCACCUGGGAGGAAUCUACUGGUGGAAAGCCAUUUCAGAGGGUUAUUGCACGGAGCAGUUGGCAGAAGUGAGGCAGCAGUCUGCAGAGGCCCUGGACAUUUUCAUAAGGGACAGCUACAGUGGCUUUGGAGUGAAAGUUGCUGCAGGUGUGAAUGUUUCAGACUCUCAUUCGAAGACAGCCACUCAGACCAAAACUUCCCAAAACCUCCAAACCAAGGUCCAAUUAUCUGUGGCCCAAACAGGUGGCCCACCAGAAGCAGAUGGCCUUGUCCAGUGGAAAGCUGGCCUCAUUGCCAGCAAUCAAACCUGGUGUGUCAUUGACCGCGGGCUUCAGUUGGUGCCAGUUUGGGACAUUAUCCUCUCUAGCCACAGAAGCAAUUUUAAGGAUCCUCUUCAGGUGGCUAACUUCCUGAAAGACAGCUACACUGCUCUGACUAGCAUCACUGCCCAGAUCCAGAAUGGGGAAGAGUUACUGAGUGCUGGGAAGGAGGCCAGGGUUUUUCUAGAGGAUGUAAAAUCUUGGGAGGUAUCUGAUCCUGAAGAGCAACUUAAAAAACUGAUAAAUUUCAUGAAAAUGUUGAGUCAAAAACUAAAAAGUUAUGACACUUGGAUUAAUAUAUGUCUCACAGAUUAGAGUCUGCAGAAUUUUCUAGUAAACACCAUCAACUUUUGCAAAAAGUCUUCCAUUUAUAAAACUAAAUGUAUUAAAUCUCAUUUGCGCAGCCUUCUGGAUCCUCACAUCUACAGAGUGACAAACUUUCCUCAGGCUCACUUCAUCAUGCAGUGGAUCUUCCAGUCAGAUUCAGAGCAGGAGCAGGUGAAUAUUUCCCAAUUUUCUCAAUUAAUUGAGAUCUUAAAAGAAACCCAGAAUAACCUCAUGGAAGUAAAGGUCAAAUCUGAGUCCCCAGAAACAGUGGAGGAAGCUCAAAGAAAGUCCACUUAUGAGGUCAGCUUGGCUCUCAGCUGCUUCUUGAAUUAUCUCCAAAAAACAGAGCAGACAGACACACAACUCUUGCUACUUUCCAUUGCAGCUGCUGCAGGAUAUCAUGUGAUCAACAAUACUUUUCAGAGUCUCUUGGGGUGUGAUGAGUUAAGCUUCCUACUGGAUGAAAUGCAAACCGCCCAAAAUAAAUACCAGGAGCUUAAGAAUAUUUGCAGCUAUAGGGCUCAGGCAUUCCUGGUUCUCACAGGUCUGACAGCCACAGUUGGAGACACAGCUAUUUCUUCAGAAGAGAAAACACAACGCAUGUCAUUAAUGAGACAUCACAUGGGACAAUCAUUGUCCAAAGAAGUUGCACAUGUCCUCACCAAACCUGGAGCAGAUCACGAUUGGGAAAACCUAGAGAAAGACUUGAGAUUGCUCAUUAAUGGGGAUUAUGAAGAAGUCACCAUCUCUUCUUUGCAAAUGGAAGAGGUGAGCAAGCAAAGUCUCUUCUAUGGAAAGAAACAGCCCCAUGAACCACAUGACAAUGAAAAUAACAAAUGGGAGAUGAUAAAAAAUGGAGCCUUCCUAGACUUACUCCAGCAUCUAGGUCUAGAACAUUACUACCCCAAAAAAUUGAGCAAAGCUAAUUUCCAUCUCAUCUAUAAGACGUCUGUGUAUAACACCCAGCCCAGCUCUGAACAGGAGCUUCCCUUCUAUUUCCUGCAGAAACUACUGAUGAUGGAUUAUGAGCUGAGAUACCUAGUCUUCAAAGAUGAUAGAAACACAGAACACCAAGUACAUCCAAAUGCUUCAGAUCAGGAAGAUGAGGCUUUUGACCCAUAUGAAAACUUUUUUGAAGACAGUGAUAGUCCCACUAAAUCUUCAUCCACUGAGCCUAGCCCCCACAUUCACCCAGUGGAUAUUCAGAUGACAAUUUUUCACUGUGCAGAUAAUUUUGCCAGACAAUAUAUUUUGGCCAAACUUUCCACUUGUCAGUUUGCCCUCCCCCUUUUGGUGCCUAAUCCCUGUACUUCUCAGAUUGAAUUCUCUCUCUGGUCUCUCCGUCAAAUUACAAGAAGUUGGCAGGAAGCAAGGAAAUCACCAAAAGGGAAGAACUAUUAUAAGAAUCAGCAGAUGUGCUGUGUCUCUACCUCAAUUGUGUCCUUCGUAAGAGUUGGAAAUGGCCUCUCUGCUUCUAAAUCUCAGAUUAUGAACUGUCUUCUCAGUAAACGGAAACAUGAUGUGUUUUUUCACCGACACUGCACAGGAAGCAGGAAAGACUGCCUCUUGAUGGGGGGCAUGGUAGAGAUCUGUUGGUUCUGUCCAGGAGGGGAAGAUGAGGACAGAUUUGACAACUGUGUGACCUUCACCAAUCUUCAUGGAGAUGCAAAAGAACAUGAGCAGCAGCUCAGCUUCCUGAAGGAGGUGUCUACUGUCAUUGUGGUCCUCAUGUCAGCCUCCGAUGACAAUGAAGGAAACCGAAAAAUUGUCCGUAACUUGUGGCAGUCAUCAAGGCCAUUGAUCUGCUUGCUCGAUGACAAAGAAGCAACCAUGACCAAUAUUUCUGGCCAAAGAAUGAGAAUGGGUAUCAAGAAUAGAAAUGAGGCAGAAUUAACAGAGGAACUCACAACUACAAUCAGACAUUUGCUAGAACUCUCAGAUACUGCUCUCAGCUUGGAGGACUGUUCCCAGAUUGCUCACCAGCAAGGAUUUCUUAUCGAUGAAGACCAGAGAGACUGCAAGGAAGCCAAAGAAAAGGCACAGGCUCUAAUGGCCUUCCUGGGGAAAAUGAAAUUAUCUCAGAUUAAGGAAAAAUUACUACCCCUUCAGGGACAACUGUGGCACCACUGGUGUAAGAAGGACAAAGAACUCUAUCAUCUUAGAGAAAAGGGAAAUCAGAGCAUUGAACAACACAAGAGUGAGAUUGAGACAGAUAAACAAAUAAUACGGCAUGAACAGUUGGCCAGAGCCCUUCCUCUCAAUGAUUUAAUGCAAUCUGUCCUUCAGUUUCUCCAAGAGCAUUCAGAAAUUCACACCAAACUGUACUUCUUGCAGUGGCUGAGUGUAUUUUUGGACAAACUGACUGCAGGACACUUGGAAGAACUGCAUGAGAAGCAAAAAUAUUGGUGGUCACUGGUUCAAACAGUAAAGCAAAAGGCACCUAAUAGUCACUCCCUGAUAUGCCUGCAAAGUGAGAUAGAAGCCAUUUCCACAGAGAUUAGUGACUGUACUUUGGGAAUUGAGCAACUUAUCAGAGAAGUUGGUCAGAUUUAUGAAGCUCUGGAAGAAGCUUCCUCCAUAAAAAAGAUUUUUUUCUCGCUUCCCCAAAUUGCCGCAGACCUGAUGAUAUCUGGUGUUCCCAUUGAGCUGAUGGAUGGGGAUGCAGCAUAUGUACCUCUAACAUGGGUGGCAGCUGUUUUUGACAAGGUCUCUGAGAAACUUGGAGACAAACGGCUAUUUGUUCUUUCUAUCCUUGGCUUGCAGAGCUCAGGGAAAUCCACCGUGCUGAAUGCCCUUUUUGGGCUUCAGUUCACUGUUAGUGCAGGCAAAUGUACCCAAGGGGCCUAUAUGCAGCUCCUCAAGGUGGAGGAGACAUUCACGGAGGAACUUGGCUUUGACUUUGUGCUUGCUGUGGACACAGAAGGACUUCGGGCACCAGAACACAGCAACAAAUCCAAGGAUAGGGACAAUGAGUUGGUAACUUUUGUCAUUGGACUUGCAAACUUGACUCUGAUCAAUAUUUUUGGGGAGAAUCCAUCAGAGAUGCAAGAUAUCCUACAAAUAGUUGUCCAAGCCUUUCUGAGAAUGAAACAAGUAAAAAUCUUUCCAAGUUGCCUCUUUGUCCAUCAGAAUGUGGGGGAAGCUACAGCUACGGACCAAACUAUGGAUGGACGAAGACGGCUAGAGCAGAAACUAGAUGAAAUGGCAGCAAUAGCUGCUGAACAAGAACAGUGCUUAGACGUAACCUGCUUCAGUGAUGUCAUUAGGUUUGAUGUCAAUACUCACGUCUACUACUUUGCUCACCUCUGGGAUGGCAACCCCCCAAUGGCCCCUCCCAAUCCUCGCUACAGCCACAAUGUACAGCAACUGAAAAGUAGAAUUCUUAUGACUGCCACACAGGAAUCCAGGGGAAACAUCAUGAAGAUAUCAGAUGUAAAAUCCCGAGUUCAAGAUUUGUGGAGAGGCCUGAUGAACGAGAACUUUAUUUUCAGUUUCAGGAACACCCAAGAAGUCAUGGCCAUGAACAAACUGGAAACCAUGUAUAACCACUGGACCUGGGAGCUGAGGAGUCACGUGCUGGGCUUGCAGAACCAGCUGAUCAACCAGAUUCAGAAUGGAAAAAUCCAGACACUUGAAGCAAGCACAUUUGAGGUUCUAGUUACAGAAAAAUAUGAAGUUGUCAAGCAAGAACUUGAAAAAUAUUUUAAUGAAGGCCCAUGUAGCAAAAUACUGAUUCAAUGUAAAGCAAACUUUGAAAAUAAGCUAAUAGUCCUUAAAGAAAAACUUAUUUCAGAUAGCAAAAGACAAGCCAAUGAACUCAUUAGUUUUAAAAACCAAAGUCAAGAAAGGCUGAAUAAGAAAAAGACAGAUUAUGAAAAAGAAUUAUUGGAAAAAAGCCGGAAGUUGGCUUUAACUGUAAAGGGCAAAGAAUUGAGUGAGGAAGAGUUACAUGAGAAAUUCAAUCAACUUUGGAAAAAGUGGGUGUGUGAUGUAUCCACAACUCUCCCGCAAGUUACAGAGCCUGACAUUGAUUUGGAUUCUGAAAACAUCCUUUGGGAGUAUUUCAAAAACAAGACGAAUGUCGUGGGUCUACUGACAAAUUCUGCAGAGAAGUUUCAAAUCAAUUAUGAUAAACAUAUCAAGGUGAAUAAGAAAUAUAACCAUAUCCCAAUGACAUUAACAGUCUUUGAGAAAGAGUUCAUUAAUAUGACUACUGACUACAUUGUUUCAAGAUUUAAUAAAAUUAUUAACAACAUGUGGAAACAACAGUGUGGUUACAAUCCAAAUUAUUUCCAUGAGAUUCUAAAGACAAUAGAAGAAGAAGUGAAAUCUGCCUCUACUCAGAAGAGAUACACAUUUACAAAUACAUUUAUCAUUGACUUAUGUGUGUGUUUAUUUCAAAGAGCAAGAGAGAAUUUUAAGGAAAUGCACAGGGCAUUCAAGAGAGCAAAUGAUCCUGUAAACUACCUAGAAAGUAAGAAAGAUGAUUUCUUCACGAGUUUUAAGAUCUCCUGUCAAGGAGCAACCUCCAUCAAAACAUUUGUUGAUGUUCUGUGGUAUAAGCUCACUCCUGCAGUCUCCACUACUAUAUGGGAGGACAUGACCUUUAAAAUUGCGGGGGACAUGCGAGCUACCUGCCCUGCGUUCAAUGGAAACAGGACUAACCUGGAGAAACACAUUCUCUUCUCUCUGGCAGAAGAAGAAAACUUUGAUAAUUACUGGGAAUACCUUCAUAAUUCAAAAUCGUUUUUUAGGAGUUACAUCAAAAAUCAUAUUAAAAGAUAUUGUUCAGACAAUGGAGGUGAAAAAAUGAAGACUUUUUUUGAAAAAAGCUUAAUUGAUAUCAAGAAUACCAUCCUCUCUGCCAUCCAUGAAUCCACAUCAGUAGCUAAAGAUAAAAGCAGCACUGCUUCUGAGUGGUUGGAUUUAUUCUGUGAUUGCCUGGGGUGCAACUUGAUCUUUCCACGAAGGGACUUGAUAAGCAUUGAACACCAGGAGAUAAAACAUACUGAAUUUCUUAAAGAAGCCAUGAGUGCAGCUUUGGAUCUCACAAUGAAGAAAAUAGAACAGAAUUAUUCAAGUAAGCCUAUAGAAGCAAUGGUUUCUAAAAUUGAGAAAAUGCUCUCUGAACAUCUCUGUGGCUGCUGGAAACAGUGUCCCAGCUGUGGAGCAAUUUGUACAAACACAAUUCCUACACAUGAAGGAGACCAUAGUGUUCCCUUCCACCGUCCUCAGGCUGUCAAUGGGGAGGAAUGGUAUGAAACAGAUGAUUUUGUCAUUGAUUGCUGUACUAGUUUGGUUGCAAGUGAUUGUUUGUUGGUUUUGAGGGAUGGCAGGAAUUUCCCAUUUAAGAACUAUCGACAAGCAGGAGGGGAUUAUGCCAUGUGGAGCAUCACCCCAGAUACCUCCAUCCAGCUAUACUGGAAAUGGUUUGUCUCUCACUUCAGAUCAAAUCUAGAAGAAAAAUAUCAGAAAAAAUUUGCAGGUAAAGGUAAAAUCCCCAAUGCAUGGGCCAAAAUCACAAAGCAAGAUGUGCUUGAAGACUUGAAAAAACAGUAAUACUCAGUGACCACAAAAGAGCCCCAGUGUCUGAAGAAAAGAGGCAGUGUACCUGAACAAUCCAAAAACAACUACUCAUUACAAUUAGAACCUUCAUCAUUUCCAUGUUUAAAAUGAAAUGUGUAAAAAUCAAUCAAUUAACACAUUAAGAGAUGAAAAUUUCCAGUAAAAGGACUUCAUUUCUCUCUGCCUCAAUUCCUCUAGUUUAAAAACAACUUACUAAAAUCUGUUAAUAUAUGAUGAAAUCAAAUAACAUUCAUUUUAGAAACCUAUUUUGUAUUUUAAACUAUUAUUCUAGAUAUUGCUUUUUUAUUUUAAAAUAUUUAAGUAUCAGAGAAAGUCAUUUUAACAGAGAAAAAUCAAAAUCAUUUCAGGCUGCAACAAAUUUCUAUAGAAUAACUGUAUCAGUAUUUCAACCAAUAUACAUGUCUUGACUGAAAGCUAUAAACUGGCUCACUGCAACGUCCACCUCCCGGGUUCAAGUGAUUCUCCUGCCUCAGCCUCCUGAGUAGCUGGAACUACAGGCACACACCAUCACUCCUAUUUUUUUUUGUAUUCUUAGUAGAGACAGGGUUUCACUGUGUUGGCCAGGCUGGUCCUGACCUCAAGUGAUCCACCCAUCUCGGCCUCCCAAAGUGCUGGGAUUACAGGCAUGAGCCACUGAGCCCAGCCAGACUUUUCAAUGUUUAAGUGGAUUUUUUUCACCCUCUAAAGUUUUAAGGAAAAGUUAUUAAUCUUUAAAUGUAAAAACAUUCAUGAGUCCCAAGCAUAGCAAUAUUUAGGCAUAUUCUGUUCUAGGAAAGAAUAAAGCAGAGACUUGACCAAGAUAGGGAUGUCAUCAAUUCAGGAAACAUUAUCAAGCAAAUAUGGAAAGUAGAAAUCAAAUAACUGUUUUUCUCAUUAACUUUCACCCUGUUCUUCCCUGGUAUGUUGGCAAUUCCCUGCGCAUGCUAAGAAAAAAAAAAAAACAGUCACAAAGCUUUGUUAUUCAAAGCUUGGUGUUAUGUACAAGUCUGAGAAUUGGCUUUUGGAAAAAAAUUUAUGAUGACCAAAUAAAAUGUACCAUUUUAAUGAA
rnacentral:lncRNA from 1 species